GCCGGGUGUGGUGGCGGGCACCUGUAAUCCCAGCUACUUGGGAGGCUGAGGCAGGAGAAUCACUUGAACCCAGGAGGUAGAGAUUGCAAUGAGCCAAGAUCACACUAUUGCACUUCAGCCUGGGCAACAGAGCAAGAUUCUGUCUUAAAAAAAAAAUUUUUUUUAGUGCACACUUGUGGUCCCAGCUACUUGGGAGGCUGAGGCAGGAGGAUUGCUUGAGCCUAGGAAUUGGAGGCUGCAGUGAGCUAUGAUUGCACCACUGCACUCCAGCCUGGGUGAUCAAGUGAGACCCUGUGUCA
rnacentral:sRNA from 1 species